CUGCGUGAAGUCGGAAUCGCUAGUAAUCGCGGAUCAGCAUGCCGCGGUGAAUACGUUCCCGGGCCUUGUACACACCGCCCGUCACACCAUGAGAGUCGGGAACACCCGAAGUCCGUAGCCUAACCGCAAGGAGGGCGCGGCCGAAGGUGGGUUCGAUAAUUGGGGUGAAGUCGUAACAAGGUACC
rnacentral:rRNA from 1 species